CGGAGGGUGCAAGCGUUAUCCGGAUUUACUGGGUUUAAAGGGUGUGUAGGCGGACUUUUAAGUCAGGGGUGAAAUCCCGAGGCUCAACCUCGGAACUGCCUUUGAUACUAUUGGUCUUGAAUGUUGUUGAGGUGGGCGGAACGGGUCAUGUAGCGGUGAAAUGCAUAGAUAUGACCCGGAACACCGAUUGCGAAGGCAGCCCGCUAAGCAACUAUUGACGCUGAGGCACGAAAGCGUGGGGAUCAAACAGGAUUAGAUACCCUGGUAGUCCACGCCCUAAACGAUGAUUACUCGACGUUGGCGAUACACUGAUCAGCGUCCAAGCGAAAGCAUUAAGUAAUCCACCUGGGAAGUACGUUCGCAAGAAUG
rnacentral:rRNA from 1 species